rnacentral:rRNA from 1 species
GACUUUAUAAACUUGUACUCUAAUUAAUGUCAAACUGGGGCCCUCUAUAUUUCUUUAGGUUUUAGGGUGAAAUCAGAAACCUUUUUUUUUGUAGGCCCUAGUUUUUAAAAUUUAAAGAGCGAGCCAGAUUAGUACCUGGUUAGAUAAAAGUUAAAAGAGCAGGAGUAAAGUAAUAUUUAAACUGUAAGAAUAUUGGCAGGUCUUUAAAUUAUCUUUGGAGGUUGAGUAGUAAUUGAGAGCCCUCAUUAACAACUCUUGUUGUCGGCGCAUGUAUGAUCGUUUGUUUUAUUCUUAGGGGUUGUAAUUUUAGUUUUUUUUGUUACUGUAAAAAUAGAUAGAUAUCUGGUCUAUGCAAGAGAUUUAAUUUGACCUACAAUAUUUAAUAAUGUAGAUCCGCCCCGCAGUGGGGCGGUUGAAAAUGUAAAAGACAGUAAGUUGCUUUUUAUGGGUGACUGAAGUUUAUUUAAAGAC